GAUGAACGCUAGCUACAGGCUUAACACAUGCAAGUCGCGGGGCAGCAUGGGGGUUGCUUGCAACCCCUGAUGGCGACCGGCGCACGGGUGAGUAACGCGUAGCCAACCUGCCCUUCACCACGGGAUAACCCGGCGAAAGUCGGACUAAUACCGUAUGUUGUCCAUUGACGGCAUCCGAUUUGGACGAACGGCUUGGCGGUGAAAGGAUGGGGAUGCGUCUGAUUAGCUUGACGGCGGGGGACCGGCCCAGCGGGGGUACGAUCGGUAGGGGAUCUGAGAGGCAGGUCCCCCACACUGGAACUGAGACACGGUCCAGACUGCUACGGGAGGCAGCAGUGAGGAAUAGUAGGGAAUGGGCGUAAGCCUGAACCAGCCAAGUAGCGUGCAGGAGGACGGCGCUAGGGGUUGUAAACUGCUUUUAAGCGAGGAUAAAGUGGCCCACGUGUGGGCUUUUGCAGGUACCGAAUGAAUAAGGACCGGCUAAUUCCGUG
rnacentral:rRNA from 1 species